GGUUAUCUGUGCGUGUAUGGUGUUCAGCACCAGAAAUAGGUGCUUUUACCUGUGUGUGUGGAUAGUGUUCAGCACCAAGGACAGGUGUGUUUGCCU
rnacentral:pre_miRNA from 1 species